rfam:Pantoea gaviniae strain LMG 25382 Contig0044_, whole genome shotgun sequence.
UAUGAACCCGACGUUUUUUCUUCGCUUUCUUUUUUAGCUUCUUUACCUUCCCCUGACCGGGAGGCGUUUCGUCGCAGGAAAAAGAAAGCGAAGACGAACUGCAAAGCCUCCCAACCGGGAGGCUUUUUUAUU